rfam:Hydrogenophaga sp. A37 NODE_60_length_33430_cov_7.95018_ID_119, whole genome shotgun sequence.
CGCCCUGCUCCGGGGUGCACAGGCCGCAAGGUCCAGCGCUGAGAUGGUUGAACAACCGAACCCGUGAACUUGAUCUGGCUAGUACCAGCGAAAGAAGAGCGCAGCCCCCAGGG